rnacentral:sRNA from 1 species
CUCAGACUGCUGUGCUAGCAAUCAGCGAGAUUCCGUGGGCAUAGGACCCUCCGAGCCAGGUGUGGGAUAUAAUCUCGUGGUUCGCCGUUUUUUAAGCCGGUCUGAAAAGCGCAAUAUUCGGGUGGGAGUGACCCGAUUUUCCAGGUGCGUCCGUCACCCCUUUCUUUGACUCGGAAAGGGAACUCCCUGACCCCUUGCGCUUCCCAGGUGAGGCAAUGCCUCGCCCUGCUUCGGCUCGCGCACGGUGCGCGCACCCACUGGCCUGCGCCCACUGUCUGGCACUCCCUAGUGAGAUGAACCCGGUACCUCAGAUGGAAAUGCAGAAAUCACCCAUCUUCUGCGUCGCUCACGCUGGGAGCUGUAGACUGGAGCUGUUCCUAUUCGGCCAUCUUGGCUCCUCCAGAAUAAACCUAUUUUUUGAGGAAAUAUAACUUUUGAAACAAUGAUGGAAAUUCUUCGAGAUAAACCAAGUGGCAUUAAUAUGGAGGGAGAAUUCCUGACCACUGCAAGCAUGGUUUCUAUUUUACCUCAAGACUCCAGCCUUCCUUGCAUUCACUUCUUUACAGGGACUCCUGAUCCUGAGAGAUCUGUUUUUAAGCCUUUCAUAUUUGUGCCACAUAUUUCACAACUAUUGGAUACCAGUUCACCAACAUUUGAACUUGAAGAUCUAGUUAAAAAGAAAUCACAUUUUAAGCCUGACAGAAGACACCCACUCUACCAAAAACAUCAACAGGCAUUGGAAGUAGUAAAUAAUAAUGAGGAAAAAGCCAAAAUAAUGUUGGACAACAUGAGGAAACUGGAGAAAGAACUAUUCAGAGAGAUGGAAUCAAUCCUUCAAAACAAGCAUCUUGAUGUGGAGAAAAUUGUUAAUCUCUUUCCUCAGUGCACAAAAGAUGAAAUUCAAAUUUAUCAGUCAAAUUUAUCAGUCAAAGUUAGUUCUUAG